CCACACCCUGAAUUGUACUCUGUUACCUUAGAAGUAGUGCAUUUGAUGGUUGUUUUGAAAAAAUAAAUGAAUGAAGGAGGACCAGUUCAUAUUACCCUUCAAAAAGGCAUAGACCAUUGGCCAUUCUCUGACCAUCUCAAGCCAGAGGUGACUUGAUCUGUCACCCAGCUGUGGCCCAUGAGCAUUAUCUAAGGAGGAACAUUUUUGCUUACGUUUCCAGUGCUCUACAUAAGCCCUAGGCCCUGGAAGGAGGCACUGAAAUGCUCAAUGGGAGCUCCAUGUGUGCAGGCUUAUGGACUGAAAUACUACUUUCAUGGCUCUGGCUAUGAACAUCAGCAUAUAGAGAAUGGAUCACUACCAAAGAAGGCACCCGAAUGUGUCUGUCUCAUCCUGGGGAAACUCAUUCAUCUGUAUAUGUACUCAGCAAGUGUUUCCUGGCACCUGCUCUGGGUCACAGUGCUGGGCACUGGAAGCUGAGAGAUGUGGAAGAAGGCUGGACAUUCAAGGGCUUUGAGAAGCUUGUAAUCCCUAGAGGAGAUGACUACAGUACCCAAGGGGUGCAAUAACCCUGUGUACACGACCCCUUGCUGGAUGCCUGGGUUUACUCUUGAGGUCACUAUGGGAUGACUUCUGAUAUUCACAGUAGCAAACUGAUCAGUUCUUGCAGCAAUACGGCAGAUACCAGUGCUUCAACCAGAGGAACUGCCAACUCUAGAGCAAGUUAAUGCCACCCAACAUCAAGGAUAUCUACAUUGGUGUUUUCUCCUUGUGGGAGAGAAUGCUGUGGUCUUCCACUAUCAUUUUUUUCUUAUUGAAAAUCUUAAAUUUUUAGCUAGACUUAUUGCCAUCCAGUGAAAAGAUCCUACUUCCCAGUAGUCCUUGCAGCUACAAGCAGCUGUGAAAGUGUGAUGGUUGGAGCUCCAGCAGCCCUCCUAGACCAUGAGCUGGCCUUGAGAAUGGAAGUCACCUACUGAGAAUGACACAGUCUUGCUCCAUAAUGACACCAAGGAACCACCACACAAGUUUGUUUAAGCUGCUUUCAUUUGGGGUCUUUAUAUGUAGUUGAAACUUACACUGAUACACACUUGUUGCUGUAAAAAGUCCUGGUUCCAAAGCACCUAGAAACCAUACAGCAAAAGCACUGUGAAGCUGUUCACUCUCCAUGAACGUCCUUUCACCCUGUACCCAGACAGAGGUUCAUGAAAUUGAGUGGCACUGAGCAAUAGAUGAGUCACUCUGCUAGGAGCUCCCCCUUCUCAUAUCGCCCCAUGGACCACUCACCACUUUAUGCAUCUCACCCAUUCUUUCCUUGGGGUGAUUCACUUCCCAAUAGGCUCCUCUGCCUCCCAUCAAAAUAGAUCUCUAGUGGACGAGCCUCAGUAUUCAUUUGGCUAUGAUUUAAUUUUGGGGUGAAUACUCUUCAUGAUAAAGCUGCAAGUUUUGCUAUACUCUUUCCCCUGUAAAGUACAUGCAGAUCCUACCUAAUUUCUGGCCUUCAUUCAAGAUGCCUUUCUUAGAAAGACCAGGAGAGGGUUAGACUUCUUGCGGGCAUGCUGGUCUUCAGCUGGAAUCCCAAGGCACAGAGCGCUCACGUCAUAAUGAAGGGUAUGACCACAUGUGUGGCACUUUCUUCUGUUGUGAUCAGGCAGGUUUGACCUUGGGUUAGUAAGUCCCCCUCUGUAGUAACUGUGAUAGUUAGAUAUUUGCUCAACAUGUAAUUUCUCCUCCACCUUUGUGAGAGGAAUAUAGCCUCCCACCCCCUUGAUGUGAAGCUUGGCGAUGGGACUUGUUUGACCAACAGAAUCUGGGUAGCAAGGAGCGAGGUCCAAGUGUUAAGAUGAGAUACCUUAAUACUUUUCUGCUUGGCCCUCUGGGAGCAUUCAACUUACAUGAUAAGAACAUUCUGAGCUCCAGAAUAAGAUGCAUGGGGCAGAAUUUCUUCAGUUGACCUACAGACCUAGGGUCUGAAGCAAGGGCACUCUAGCUAAUCUACAGACCGGCAGCUUGAAAAUAGGUGCAACUCCAAAUAAACGUAAUAAAUAUAUACUCUUCCCUUACAACAGCUCUAGUUCCACUAGUUGUACCAAUCAGUGACUCCUGUUUUCAGCUACUACAUUUGUGGGGGUUUGGACGUAGCAUGAUUUCAGGAAAAGCUUAGCCAAUACAGUGAGAAAUCUCUUUUAUGCCUUAUAACAGCUCUCAAGUCCUUGGGUGGAAAGACACCUUCAAAAUCCACGGAUGUGAAUUCAGACUUGUAAAUACAGACAGAACAGGCCCCACCCUUUCUCUGGCAUUCUCUGUCUCUUGGUUUCUCUCUUUCCUGAAUGCGAAAAGGGGUGGCUCCAAAACACACCCAGAGAAGAGUCUCUUUCCUCUGAUUUGCUGCUGUCUCCUUCCAAGACCCAGUGCUCUCACGUUCUCUCAGCAGCAGUAGAUUCUUUUCAAACCACCCUCCAAAAUGCAGCCAGAGUUGUCUUCUGAGAACAACCAAAACACAGCCAGAGUUGUCUUCAGAGUGGUUCCUGAGACCAUCCUGUCUGAUCAUGUCAGUCGUAUGCUUGCAAUCCUUCAGUGUCUCUCCACAAGUAUUUAGUGAAAGUUUCCAUGUCUUAAGGCACAAAGCUCUUCAUGACCUAGGGCUUGCCAGCUCUUACUACUGUUCUCCUUACCCACCAGCCCCUCCAAUUCCAGAUCUUGCCAGCUCUUACUACUGUUAGGUCUUGCCAGCUUGGUCUUGCCAGCUCUUACUACUGUUCCCCUCAUUCACCAGCCCCUCCUAUUCCAGAGAGCUCCUCACACUUUCCAGAAGGCAUCAUGCUGCUCUCUGUCUCCACACUGGUGCACAUGCCAUUUCCAUGGCUUGGACACCCUUCCCUUAUUCCCUGGGGUGUGACUGUCUCAAGGUGACAGUGAUAUGAUUGAUGGAAAGAUGCCAAUAGCCACAGGAAAAGGAAACAUGUUCCUUUAAUAUGAAGUAGAAGAUACAACUACACACAGACCAACUCAUAAAGCCACGGGUACAGAAGCAGGCACAGUCUAAGAGAGUGUUAGUUAGGAUAUACUUUAGCAGCUGUAGCAGAGAGAGCUGAAUUCCUAAUGCAUCCAUCAGAACCCAGCUCAAGCCUCCCUAAAGCCUUCUUUGGUUUGCUCUGUGGCUCACUGCCCAAGGCCUGAUUUAGAAGCCCAUUACCUGGGCUCUUCAGGGGCCUAUCACUUAUCGUGGCACUGGUCUAACCAGGUUCAAAAGCCGUUCUGGGAUCUCCAUGUUGCAGGUGCUCAAUGCUUACUUAGUGAGCACCUGGGCUACUUGAGAUGGGCAUGGGAAACGUAGCAACAUGCUUGGCUGAUGUGUGCUGUGACCUGGAGAACAGGUGCUUUCCAUAGACUUAGAACUGUGCUCUUUAAACUGCCUCCCUGCCUCUGGGCUUCUCUCCAUAAUGCAGCCAAAGCGAUUUUCUACUGCACAGAGUUGGCCGUGCCACUCUCCUUAAAACCUUCCAAGAGCCCUCACUGCUCUGAGGCCAGCAGCUGAACCCUUCAACAUGGCUCACAAACAAAGGUUGCCAUAUUUAACAAAUAGAAAUCUAGGACACCCAUUUAUAUUUGAAUUGCAGAUAAACAUCAAUUCUUUUAGCAUAAGUAUAUCUCAUGCAAUAUUUGAGAUAUACUUAUAUUAAAAACAAACUUGUUGCUUAUAUGAAAUUCAAACUGAGUAUCUCGAAUUUUAUUGGCAACCCUGUUUACUUUGUCUAUGUCCCUGCUUUUUUCUGCAGCAUCCUCUCUCCCUAAGCAUCUGCCUCAGACCUACUAAACCUCUUUCUUCCUCUGGACUUUCUAUCAUGGCGCUUCUGUGAGAAUUAAAUGACUUAACACAUGUCAAGUGCUUAGAACAGUCCCUGUCCUAAGGGACUUACCUGGCUCAUGGUGGAAGACAUUGAAGUUUCACUGUGAUUGUUGUUGCCCACUCCGACGGGCACACCCGCCCCAAUCCCACUGCUCCACUUGGCCAGAUUAACUCUUACCCAUUCUAUAGCAAAGUGGUAAUCUCAGAUUAUCAGCCUCUUCUUUGGGACUCCUUUUCCAAUUGUUCCUUGAAUGAGAUUGGAAGUCCUUGGUGUAUACUCCCAAAUGCCUUGUACUUCCCCUACAACAGCUCUUACCUCACUUGGUCAUGUUUUCUUAGUCAGCUUUCCUACUAGACCAUAAUGUCUGCAGAGAAAGGAAUCUCUAUAUUGCUCAUGUAUCUGCCCUCCGUGCCCUGCAGAGUGCCUGGGAAAAGAGGUGGUAUUUAGUAUAUACUGAAUGAAUGAACAGCACCCCACAGCCCUCUAUUUUUUAGGAGCUGGUUUCCUAAAUAACUCAACCUCUUUGUGGUCAAGGUCAAGGGAGAUUCUAACACUGCCCAGCUGAAGUGCCCAUUCCACUUGGGGUGCUCAGUCCUGGUUCUGAGAAAGGAGGCAGACAAGCACUGUUUCUGUUUCAGUUCUGCCUUACCACCUGCAAACCAUGUGUAUGGUAUCAAGCAGUUUGCUUCUCUCCCCUGAAUUCCGGUGUCCUUAUCUGAGAUCUGGAGUCAAUAAAAUCCAUCUGGACAGGCUUUGGGGGAGAAUUAACUAUGAGGUGAUGCUAUGCUUGCAAAAAGACCCGGCACAUAGCAGGGACCAGACAAACAUGAGUCCCUGCUAUGGGCUAACUAGGGCCUCCUUCAGAGAAAAUAAAAAGUUCGGAAUCAUGUGACCAAUAUCUGGUCAGUUUGCAUGAGGCAGUGUAUUUCAGAUCAGAAUCAGGAAACCCUACACUUUAAAGAUGAGAGGGGAAAAAUGUGAAAGGAGAGAGGCCACGUCUGCAGACUUGAGAGAGAGAAAAAAGGGGCUGGAAGCAGCAGAUCAAUCAUCAAGGUGAAAACUUAAAAGACAAUUGAUUUUCCUCCUUGAUGUCCACGUUUCAAGGACCUUGUUGGGCUCCUCCUGGGAAAUCGACUUUGAGGCUCAUCUGCCAUGGAAAGACAUUUCCUCUGAGCUCUGUUUCCAGUGACUCCCAGGAUCCGGGCAGGGAGCAAACAGCAGGGUCUCUGGAGAUCAGCAGCUUGACCUCAGGGCCAUCCUGGCUCUCUUUCCCCAUAGCCCAGAGAGUGUCCAGAGUGCUGCACCUGGAGUCACUGCCCCUGAAUUCAACCCACUUGCCCUGGCUGUGUGGCCUUACAAGAGCCAAUUCACCUGCCUGACUGACAAUUGCUAGAAAAGCUUCAGGGUCUUGAUGGUCAGAGAUAAAUGGACAGGAUAGGGAGGAGCCAGAUGAUAGGAAUAAGAUGUGCCUUUGGGGAGCUGGGGAGGCAAUGUUUUCCAGGGUGGAGUUCAAGAAACAAGCAAGGUAAGAGGAGUGGAGCCAGGCAAGGCAUAAGGAAAGAGUGGACAAGAUAGAAAGGUCCGCAGUGCUUGCCGGGAGCUGGGUAAGGCACCUAUGUGGGGCAGGGUGCGAAUCUGGUUAAAAGCCCAGGGUCAAGGUUGACCUCUGUAGCUCUAACCUUGUAAAGAUGGCAUGAGGAUUACAUGUGGUAAUGGAUGGAAAGCCCCUGUCACAUAGGGCUUGAUGAAUGGGCUGAGUCAGAAGGAGAAUAUGAAUCAGGCGAAGGACAAAAUAAUCCAAUCCAGUUCCUCUUCCCUGUCCACACAGCACCUGCAAGCAGCACCUAACCCUGUUUCCUAGCCCCAGGUGCCCUGUCUAUGGGCACCUCUCAGCUCAGCCUCUGGGGAUGCCCUCCUGGCCCUGGGGUCUUGUGUGUUCUCCCAAAGGGACUGAGCUACUCCAGAGUAGUCCGCCCAGGUUCUACUUCCUUACUGCCCCUGCCCAAGUCUGGUCGGGUCCAUAAUCUUGUCCCGUACACCAGAACUGGCCUCCUCUGUGACCCACCAGGUGACCCAGAAGCUCACAAGCCUGUACCCUUCUCAAAGGGCCUAAUCGUGGAGGUUUACCUGCCCCUCCCCAUCCCAACCCCACCUGGCCAUGACCUUCAUUCAGGCCUUACCACUGACCCCUAGACUUGGCUGCAGCCUCCUCACAGGCCUCCCCAACCCCAGACCCUCCCUCUCCGGAGUCCCUUCUUUUCAUAAGCACCUGAGAAGUCUUUCUAAAACAUAAGUAAAAUUUUAUCACUCUCCUGCUUACAGAAACAGAAACAAAGAACAAAAAUAUUUUUCUUUUGUUUCCCAUCACCUACACAGGAAUGCUUUUAGUUGUUAGUGUAGGAUUUUUGUUUUGUUUGUUUGGAGCUCUUUUGUGGACCCGGCGUGCAAAAGGUCAAGUUAAUCAAGGUCAAAUAAUCCUUGGUCUGUGGGGGACUAAUGUCAGGAUCUUUCUGAUUGAUGUGUAUUCUCUUUUGUCACUAUUCUCCCUAUUAUAGGCAGCCACACACACAUGUUGUAUGGGUAUCCUUGAGCUUGCAUGAACCUUUGGAAAAUAAGAAUUGUUUUCAUCUGCAUAAGCAAUAGUGUAUUAAGACCUUGACGUGUUUCUUAUUUUUUCAUUCACUGUGUUAAAUUCUGUUCAUGUUGGUGCACAUACACUUAGUUCCAUCACUUCCACUGCCUUGCACGGACACUAAGCUCACCUCCAGCUCUCUCCCUGACAAAUCGCAUGUGCCAUGCAUAUUAUUGUACAUGUCCCCUUUGGAUUGGUGUGAGAAUUUCCAUGUGGGAUUGCAGGUUCAUAGGGCAUAUACUUCUCUGCAGUGUCGCUGCACCAGUCCCCACCCCACCAGCCCAAACUCCAGCACCUUCUACUCCCUCACUGCCUCUCCAGCCCCAUUUUCUGCCACCCCCACCUGAAGUUCCCAUUAACUGACAUGCUCACUAAUUCAAUGAAGGUGAGUGUUUUUGAAAGCCAUCUAGCCCAAUCCUCUUGUUUUACAGACUAGGACUCUAGGGCCCAGAGAGGGGACAUGAGUGGCCCAACUUCCCAAAGCUUAGAAAGGCUUACGUAGGGGAGCCUCUGUCUCUUCAUAAACGCUACUCAAAAGCAAAAGUUUUCUUCCACUUUUCAGAAGCAGAAAAUAGAGUUCCAGAGACACAAAGUUAGAAACUUUGGGUCUCAUGGAACAUUAGAAGGAAAGGGGAAAAUUGUGGCUCAUUUAUCCCUGAAAUUGCCUUCUUCCCUGAUGUGUAAGGUUAAGCAAGGGCUGCAUGCACCUACAGGGUAAGCAAGGGCUGGAUGCUAGUGUCAGAGGAAUCUGGGGGGUUGUGCUGCAUUUGGGCUCACUUCAUGUCAUGUACAGCAGCAACAUCCAGGGUCAGAUGGCCCACACCACUGCACUCACCUGGCCCCAGUACCAGCCUCUGAGGCCUGGGUGAUCUGAUGGGCCUUUCGUCAGCCUGAUCUUUGUGAGGAUUCAGCUAGGGAUAGCAUAUUUAGAGCAAAGUUUGUCUCCAUGUAGUCGUGAAUUAUCCCCACAAAUCAAAGCUGGUUUGGGAAACCCAAGGCAAAACUUAAGUCAGGUUAAGCUUAUAAAAUUGUUUGGGGACAACAGUAAUAUAAAUGAGCAGGCUCUUUAAUACAUUUAAAAUGAAGUCAUUGCAUUUUUCAUGGGGUUUUCAUUUCCUGUUCCCCCUCUGCCUCCAGGGCAUCAAUCCCACACUGAGAAAAUGUUUGGGAAGCAGAGGCUAGAGUGGAGAAGAAAGUGAUAUUGUGGCUGGCUUCCCCAGGGCGCCUCUUCAGUCAGAUCUACCCACAGGGGCCCCUACAGUGGUCCCCACACUGAGUAAAAAAAGAGAAUUACCCAUUUGGACUCAGGACCACUGGGUGCCCACCGUCUUGCACACCUAGACUGUAUCACUUUCCAGCUUCUGCAAGGAGAGCCAGGGCAUUUGUCUCCUGUGCGGCCCAUACUUUAUGCAAGAGCAACCACAUUCCACCUCCACACCUCCACCUCCCCUUAGCUCCCCAAAUCCACUCACAAGUUACAAUUUAAUAGGCAGAUCUAAUCUCACCAAGAUUCCAAAGUAUUCCAGUCAAUGCAUCCCAACUCUGCUUGUCUCUGCCUGUCCACAGCCUCCUCUUCUUCCUCCUCCCAAGCUGUGCCACAGCAGAGACCUGUCAGAGAGGAAUCAGAGGUUCUCCCCUGUUUAGCUUUGGCUUGUUUCAUUGGAAUUCUCAAUGGAAGAAUGCAAAGUCUUUUUAUAGUCUCCAAUAAAAUGUAGAGGCUAACGGUUGACAGCAUGGCCUUUGGAGCCAGGAAGCCCAGAUUUUUUGUCAGCUGUGUGAAUUUGGGCAAGUUAUUUAACCUCUCUGUGCCUAGAUUCCCCAACUAACAAAAUGGGAGUACUAAUACAUACCUACCUAUUAGCAGUACUUCCCUCACAGGCUUGAUUGUGGGAUUUAAAUAUGUUAAUGCCAAUGGUAAUAUGAUAAGAACAUGCUUGGCUUGUGGGAAGUGUGAGGUUAAGUGUUAGCUACAAUGAGGAUGAUUGAUGAGGAGGAGGAUGAGCAGACACAGACGGCAAAGAAAGAUGUAAAUUGGUUGAAUUGCCAAGCUCUGUACCAUCUUCCCCACAUUAUUCUUGGAGCUCAGAGAUUCUACACAUGUGCAAAAGAGCCUCCAGAGAACCAGUACUAACCUGGCCAGAGUGAAGUAAUUUCCCUGCUGAGGUUGAUGAUGGAUAGAUAUUCUAGACAUAUUGGAGGGUGGCACUCAUGAGCAGAUAUCUGAUACCAGACUGUUGCCAAGAUGGCUGGGGCUUUGCCUUCUUAGGACAGAGAAUUAGCACCCUCCACCCCGCAAGGUGCUCUAGUCUCCUGCUACUCAAAGUGUGGUCCAAGGAUGAAGGACAUGAGUUUCCUCUGGAAGUUUCUCCAAUAUGCAGAACCUCAGAUCUGUCCCAGGUCUGCUUAAUCAAAAUCUGCAUUUUAAUAAGAGCCCCAGGCGAUUUCUGUGUACACUAAAAUUUGAAAACUGCUCUUGUCAUCCAAACGCAGGGGAGUGGAUGUGGUGACCUUCCCUUUCUGCCCCCACUGGACUGCAUGAGCCACAUAUGGAGGGACGGUGUCUGUUUCAUUACUCACCUUGUCCUCAGAAUUGAGCUUCCUUCCUAUCACACAGGGAGCACUUGUAAAUUCUUGGCAGUAGAUGGAUGCAUGAGAAACUGAAUAGGUGAAUGAGUGAGUGCAUGACCGUGGGCUCAGAAGCCCAGUGUCUUGGUUUCAGGUCCUUGGUGAAUAGUGCCGGCAUAUCCCAGCAGAAGGCAAAAUUGGUGGACCAGACUAACACCUCUGCAGCACCGAAUUCACUGCCAAGAUUGAGCAAGACUGGCUUGAGAGACUUGAGACUUUCAGUAGUGUGCAGCAGGGUAGAGCUAGGUCAUGCAGGAACUGACCUUGUGUCUACCACAUGUCCCUGCUCUCAAUACUCAAGUGGCCCUGGCAAAGAAGGAAAUCAGGUCAGUCUGACAUGACUUAUUCUAAAUGCACCCAGGCAGACCAGCAGUGAGCCUCGCAUCCUUGUCUGGGCACUCACAGUCCAGUCCCUACAGACACCGGAUACCCUUUUCUGGGUUGAGAUAAUGGCUUAUAGAACUUGCCCCCUAUGAUGACUGAAAAUGUGAAUGACAUUUACCUGUUUCCAGACUUCCAGUCACUUCCAGACUUGCAUGAUUCCUUAAAUAUCAACAAACUGUGGCUUGGUAACCAUCUUUGCGAGUGUUUUAAUAACUCUAGUAUGUGGCUUGUCUGGGCCAAUGGGCAAGGGACAAACAGGGUAGCUCAGUGUUUGAUUGUGACACCCUCUUCUCCUCUUUUGGAUGUCUUUUAUCCCUACUAAUCUUUAUUCCAACCAGCACAGUCUAAAGAUUAUGCUAAAGAUCUGCCCAAAGAUAUUAGGGGCUGUUUGUAAUCACCUCAAAGUCUUAGAAGAUCUAUGGGCAGCUCAGAGAGACCUGCGCUCUUCAGAUAUUUCUUUGUCUUACUCCCAGCCAGCCGUUCCUCCUGUGAUCACUCAACUACAGAUCUUUAAGAAUGGAGCAAAAUGGGAUGUGCUCAAGAUUUCAUGACAAACAGAGCAGGGCUUGGAUCCCAGCUGGUGAGGGGCAGACAGCAGGGGAGAGCAGCUGGACACAAGGGGAUUCACUUGUGAAAUGUGAGAGUCCUCCUUUCCUCUUACCUUCCAUCCUGCCCUGCAGGUCUCCCCUGCACUGCCUUGAAGCAAACCAUUCUUGCUCUGCCUUUGCCCAUGUGAGCUGGUAAGGGUGGCAGACAGGGUGGUUGCCAACCCUCAAUAUCUGUUCCCACCCCUGCUUCCCUCCUUUUCAGUGGAACCCCUAUUUUGUUGGAUAUCCACCUUCCCCAACUUGCCCAUGUGCCUUGGAGGAAGUGGACACAACCCUGAGUGGUGCAUCCUGAUGAGUCUAAACUAAUCCCAUCCCCAUUGUCAAUGACUGGGAAUCAACUCUGGACAGUAAUCUGGGAGGAACAUCUGCAGGAUUGCUUCUAAGAGAGAUCUACCCGCUCUUAAAAGCAUACCCAGAGAAGAGAAGGUGCUGUCUUUUUCUCAGUGUCAACAAGUCUAGAUACGAUGGCUGGAAAUGGCUGUAGAGCUAUGGGGAAAAUCAGACUUCAGAUGAAGCCAAGAUAUCCUGGAUGGCAGAGAGAAAAUAUAAAAAAAGCCUAGGUCCUCCUCGAUGCCAUCGGUGGGCUUUUAAAUUAAUCAACCCAGAGCUUGCCUGCCUCUGGCCUGAUUGUAAUAUGAGGUAAUAAAUCUUAUUGUCUGGGCUUGUAAAGUUGGGUUUGCUAUAGCCAAAAGGGAAAAAGCAAAGUGUGUGAUUACAUGUAGAAAACUCAGGAGGAGCUGGGAUGUUUCUGUCUCCUUUGUGGUGAUUGAACUAAAGAGGAGUCUAGUCCUCAGUCUGAGGCUUUAGCCUCCUAUAAACACACACACACAUGCUUCACGGACACACACACACACAUGCAUGUCAACAGCCACCAAGAAAUGGAAGCAAUUAUGUGAAUAUUCCUAAGAGAAGAGCCUAGUUAUGUUUAAAGCUUAAAGUACAAGCGCCCAGUUUUGUUCAGGUCAGGGAAAUGAAGCACCACCCAGUGGGACUGGGUGAGAACAAGCCAAUUAAAUUGUGACAUUUUAUUAGUAUCUUGUCCUUGAGCUCAUGGCCUAAUUGUUGCAAGUUUGUCCAGGAGAGGACUUCUGAAACCAUAAUUCUGUUGCUAAAACUCAAACUCAUAAUUUUCAUGCUAAAUUGUCCUUCUUCUAUUCAGAGCCCAUUAUAUAAUUCAAGAGAUACAGCCUGAUGUGUAAAGUUCUUGUGAAGAUGAAGAUGAUGGAGCCAAGCCUGCUGGGUUGAGCCUUGCCCAGGCCAACCUGCUAUGGCCCAGGGGUCACCCUCUCAUCCACCCCUCUUCAGCCUUGCAAAAGCCACAACCUUGCACCUUGUCUCAG
rnacentral:lncRNA from 1 species